rnacentral:rRNA from 1 species
CCGGCGACGGGUGAGUAACACGUAUGACAACUCCCACCUGUAACGAGGGGAUAACCGGAGAAAUCCGGACUAAUACCCCAUAAUAUGGGCGCUCCGCAUGGAGAGCCCAUUAAAGAGAGCAAUUUUGGUUACAGACGAGCAUGCGCUCCAUUAGCCAGUUGGCGGGGUAACGGCCCACCAAAGCGACGAUGGAUAGGGGUUCUGAGAGGAAGGUCCCCCACAUUGGAACUGAGACACGGUCCAA